rnacentral:rRNA from 1 species
GAUGAACGCUGGCGGCGUGCCUAACACAUGCAAGUCGAGCGAACCCUUCGGGGUGAGCGGCGGACGGGUGAGUAACGCGUGGGUAACCUGCCCUAUACACACGGAUAACGUACCGAAAGGUACGCUAAUACGGGAUAAUAUUGUUGGAUGGCAUCUUCUAACAAUCAAAGCUCCGGCGGUAUAGUAUGGACCCGCGUCUGAUUAGGUAGUUGGUGAGGUAAUGGCGCACCAAGGUGACGAUCAGUAGCCGACCUGAGAGGGUGAUCGGCCACACUGGAACUGAGACACGGUCCAGACUCCUACGGGAGGCAGCAGUGGGGAAUAUUGCACAAUGGGCGAAAGCCUGAUGCAGCAACGCCGCGUGAGCGAUGAAGGUCUUCGGAUCGUAAAGCUCUGUCCUCAAGGAAGAUAAUGACGGUACUUGAGGAGGAAGCCCCGGCUAACUACGUGCCAGCAGCCGCGGUAA